rnacentral:rRNA from 1 species
CAGUCGCCACGGGAAUACGAAGGGGGCUAGCGUUGCUCGGAAUGACUGGGCGUAAAGGGCGCGUAGGCGGCGAUCAAAGUCAGGCGUGAAAUUCCUGGGCUCAACCUGGGGGCUGCGCUUGAUACUUGGUUGCUUGAGUGGGGAAGAGGGUCGUGGAAUUCCCAAUGUAGAGGUGAAAUUCGUAGAUAUUGGGAAGAACACCGGUGGCGAAGGCGGCGACCUGGUCCUUUACUGACGCUGAGGCGCGAAAGCGUGGGGAGCAAACAGGAUUAGAUACCCCUGUAGUCCCUGUCUCUUAUAC